UACGGGGGGGGCAAGCGUUGUUCGGAAUUACUGGGCGUAAAGGGUUUGUAGGUGGCCCGCUAAGUCACACGUGAAAUCCCUCAGCUUAACUGGGGAACUGCGUGUGAGACUGGCAGGCUCGAGGGCAGGAGAGGAACGCGGAAUUCCAGGUGUAGCGGUGAAAUGCGUAGAUAUCUGGAGGAACACCUGUGGCGAAGGCGGCUCGCUGGGCCGGUCCUGACGCUGAAACGCGAAGGCGUGGGGAGCGAACGGG
rnacentral:rRNA from 1 species